rnacentral:snoRNA from 1 species
ACCUUCAUCAAAGGCAUGUUUGCUAGUUUAAAAUGGCAAAUGUGUAAGAACUGAAGGCAGAGAAAUGUUCUUUCUGAUCACAUGA